UAAAAUACUAUGGAACCGAUUGACACAAGAUAAGAAGAAUAAGAUGACGUUUUACAUUUGUCUCGAAUCUUCCAAGGUUCGUCAUUUUGAUUUUGUCUAUAUUUUGAGUUUGGUUUUGUUUCUCUUGAAUUAGUCACUAGUUAAGAUAAAUGUUUGGUUUUGUUUAUAUUUUGGAUCAUUUGUUGCAAGAGCCAUCUGAGUAUGAAUCAGAAACUCUGUUUUUUCAAGGGAAACAGAGCACCUUCACAAUCACACUAUAUGUUCAUGAAUAUCCCAGAAAUUUAUCAGUUGGUAACACACAAUUAUAUGUUUCAAUAUAUGUAUGGCGAAAACUUAAUCCACGUGUACACAUUUUUCAAAGUCUACAUGUACACCAGAUCACAAAGCUUCACUAUCGUAUCCACAUGUACACCGGCUGGCAAGAUCCAUGUGUACACCACAAUUAUUUUUAGUUUUGAUCAUGAAAUAUUGAAACGUUGUAACCAGUUCAUGUUGUAACCAGUUCAUAACAAAAACAAAAUUGCAACUCUCUAAGAAGCUAAUACGUUUGGGGCCAGGAGGAUGUGAAGGGAAGCAUAGUAAGCACCUUAUCGUCGCUUUUUCGUUUCUUCUUACAAAUAAAAACCAAAAUGACUAUCACAAGAAAAGAGACUCCUCCGAUGGAGUUACCAAUCACCACUCUUGUUGAUAAUCCAUCCUAAGAAAGAGAUAACGAAGAUGGAAUUCGAGGAGAUUUUCCUCCGUCGCCAGAGAUGAAGGGUAUCAAAUAGGAGAUUCAGGAGGUAAUAACAGGUGUGGGAGGAGACAAUUGAGGAGAAAGAGGAAUACAAGAAGGCUGAGGAGAUCUGGGAUUAGUGGUUGGCGGCGGAGAAGAAGAGAUUGUGGUGGGACGAGACGUAAAAAGUAAUUAAGUUUUUUUUUAUUGUUGAGAAGAAGUAGGGUAUAAUUGACAUUUUAUCUUUUCACUUAUGUUGAAAAGCUUGGACAAAGUGUCCUUGUAGUAAGAUGUGUUCUAUUGUGAUAUUAAAAAGUGAAA
rnacentral:lncRNA from 1 species